CCACGCCUGCUGCCUGACCGUCACGGCGGUCAGGCCCGUGCGAUUUGAAUCUGGUUGUGCCGCUGGCCCACAAGGCCACCGCCAUGCGCUCUAGGGAUACCGCCGGCCUACGCCGGGCAGGUCUGGCGCAGUUUCCCCGCUGAUCGGCUCACGCCUUCGCCGGGGCGACGUGUAAAGCACGAACCGACG
rnacentral:sRNA from 20 species